CUCCCCUCUUCUUCUUCCGUCCACGGACAACCGAUAUCGAUAAAUCCCGUGAGUGACCAAAUCGGAGCGCGGAGCGAGCCGCGUAUUUACGCCGCCUCCGAUCGGAUGUAUUAUUACCGAACGAACGGUUGCCACAGCUUCGCCGAACUUCGUCCACUUCGGGAAAGGAAACUUUAUCCACGGAUCGAUCGGGAAAAAUUUCGAGUUUAAGCCCAGUACCAACUUUCGCGACGCAAAGGAAAGGAUAAGAAAGAGGAGGGAAACAGGUGAACAGCCUUGGUGGAGCUUCGAAUUCCACACGUGAAAGGACGAUUGUUAUUGGCCAAGAGCGGGAGGCACGGCUCCCGCUUCGAUUCGCGAUCUGCGCCGCGGUACUCUGCACUUUUGCUCCGGAUAUCUAUCGGAGCAAUGAAAAAUCGAAUCCUUUCCUCCGCACCCGUGAUUCGAGUCUUCUUCACUUCUGUAAUGAAAUGGAAGGAGGUGGGGGAGUCGAUUAUCGAUCAAAAGAGAAAAUAGAGCUCGAAUCUUAAUUAAUUUAGGAAAUUUCGAAUCAAAUCAUGAUAGUUGAGAGUAUUUUCGCGAGUCAAAUCUUAACGAGAAUUCAGUUCAUUGCUCUUGUUUAAGAUUGCUAAAAAAUAUAAAUCGAUACAAGAGUCGAUAAAUGCAUGGAUAAAAUUAUCGUAGUAUUGUUUCUUUAUCGCGUUCUACUUUCCUCAAGGUAUCUGGUGGAAAGUAGAUUAUCAAUCUUGUAAAAAUCGAUUGCUUAAUCGUAUAUCGAAAAGUUUUUUUUUUUUAAAUUAAGUGAUAAUAUACGAUUUUAUAUUAUAUUGUGUUAAGAAGAUGAUUUUUAAAAAAUUAAUAAAUUAAUAAAUUUUUUAAUGUAAUUU